UAGGACCCCAAUACCUUCCUCUAGGGGCCUGUCCCAGGCCGGGCGAUGGACCUCAGGGUCCCCAGCCCUUUAUUAGAGGAAGCAAACUUGUACAGGAGGCAGAUGAGCUUCCCGCUAAGGCCAUGGACUCUGGACUUCCUGUGCUGGAGGAAAACUUCUGUUGUGCAGCGGAGCUGGACAGGGUAAGCAGAGGUCCAGAGCUGAGGCUCUGAGGCUCCACGUCAUUGGAGCCCUGCUCUUCUGAGGAAUUAUAACCCUCACAGUGGCCCAAACUGACAGACGUCUCUCCAGAUGUCAGGACUGUACGCUUGCUCAUACUCAGCAGCUCCCCAGACAGCCUUGUCACUAUGCAGCAGGCCGAGGCCCAGGUCCUCUUUCCCAGAUCCAUGACUCUGGCAUCCCUUCAACUCUGAUCCUGUGAUGGGCAAGCGUUGUGUUGACCUGGCAUCGGGGGUGGGAGGCAUGAGGACUCCCAAGGCAGAGCGGCAUUCCUCUUGCAACCCUUCUUAGGAUUCCUUCCUCUCCUGUUCUCACCUUAGGCUCCGACUACCUCUACCAGGAUGCCUCUGGAACAUUUCCCUUCCCACAUGGCUGCUGAGAACUGGAAGUCCGGGUCCCCAGGGAGCAGGCUACUUUGGAAGCUCUCAUUAGUGGUAGGGCUGUUUAUGCAGAGUGCUCCUUAGAGCUGGCCAGGAGGCUGCUCGGCUGACCUCCGCCUUGCAGGGUAUCUAUACCUCGAUGAGUCAGGAGAAAGCCUGCUUGUGGCAGGGAGGGUCAGUGGGGGUCAGGGGACCACAAGUGAGGCUGGAAGUGGCUGCUUAGAGGGUAGUGUGGCGUUUCUAGACCCUGGAAACUAGCAGGGCUUCUGCAGAAUAGUGAUCUGAGGCUAGGACCUUGAUUCCUAAGGCCCUGGCCAAGAUACCCACUGAUUUACACAUGCCUCUGUAACAAUGUGGCUUUUAUGAGGCCUAGAGAGUGACCUGAAAUCUCUCUGUUGCUUCUGUUGGGUCAGAAUGUGUCUCAGAAGCCCCCACUCACCCACCCAACUGCCAAGGAAUCCUGUCCACAGAUGGGGAAACUGAGGCUUUCUGGAAUCUUCUCUAAGUAUUAUUCUAGAUGUUGAUGGCUCAGAUGAGGGUCUGCCACAUCUCCCCUCUUGCUUGGUGGAAAGACCCACAGAGCCACCGCAUGCUUCCUUAUGGGUAAGCUUGGUUCUCUGGGCCAAUGCCUGCAGCAGGCGCCUGUGUGGAACUGGGUGACUGGGUAAGAAGAUCACUGUAGCAUGCCUGAGAGAGCACAAGUUUGCAGAUGCCAAAGUCCAAGUGUUGAAGGAAGGUGGGAGACCCUGCCUUGCCCAUCGCAGGCUCCCGAGCUAUUUAACCUCACUGCUUGUCUGUGAGGGUUCUAUAGGUGGAGCCCAGGGCUACAGACCUCUGAUCCUCAGCUACUCAUUAAAGCUGGAGACCUUUUCUGCCUCCUUCAGACAGAUCUUUGAGGGAUCUGAAGCUCUCGCCGAUCAGUUCCUCUCAUGGGUACCUUGCUCUGAGGGAUAGCUGUGCCUCUUGGAGGAGCAGCGUGGGUCAGAGGAAGAAGGCCCCCUGAUUCUGCAGUGGGGAUGGUCACCAUUCAUGAUUUCUGGAUCUGUCAUGAAGGAGAAAUUUGCUGUGGGUGUGAAUGUGAAGCUGGGGGCCUCCCCACUUUAUGCACAAUCCUACCUGCAUGCCCUGCUUUACAUCUCGAUUUCCUCAAGUUCAAGCCAGUGCUAGGCUGGCCGAGCCACACCCUAUCGCCACGAAUCCGUCUGUACUCUUAACUUCAGAUCUUCUCACAAGCAAUAUGGGACUCAUCCCACCAGGUCUAAAUACCUUGCCCAUUUGGAGGAAUUCUCCUGAUCUUGUACUUCCCCAGCCCCUUCCAAGUAGCUUGGAGCAACCACCAGGCUUUCAGUCAUAUGUGCAGGCUGAGAAUCCCACCUCUAGCCAAGCUAAAGACACAAUGUUGCUCUUAGGAGAGUAGAGGGAGAUGUUUGGAUGGGCCCAGUCCCCAGAGAGGUGAUGUUGAUAACUAUGCUUGCUCCCCACACCCAUGUCUUUGAGCCCUUUCCCAUCUGAGCCCUUCCUUAUCUGCCCCAACAACUCUGGUGUCUCCACCUGUUGGUGCCUGUGUUACCGGCCCGAGGUUUCCAGGAGCCACUUUGCCUGUGCAGUAGUGAGGGUCCUUGGUGGUCUCAACCCUGAGCAGUACUCUCCAGAGUUCAGUCCUGAAUCAGUCAUGCUUUUGUGGGCUCUGGGGUCCAGCCUCCUCUUUUUCCUCGAACUUGGGAACUUGGUAAAUUUAACAGUGUGGUUUGUCUCUGGGCAUUAGGUUAGCGGCCAAGAUGGGAGAGAGGAUGCUUUCUGAAGGGUGUGUGGUAUCCUAGGGUGAGGAGGUUUUUACGGGCCUUAAAGUGAAGUCAGGCAUCUGCUUUCUCCCAAGGACGAGUAAUGACUAGAUGCUUGUGUGGGUUCCGAGACCCUCAGGGGAACCUGGAGAUUUGAGAUUAGCUUGACUUUACCUACAUUUAGUGGACGCUACCUAGUCCAACAGUGGCCAUCUGCACACUGAAGAGGCAGAGAACCUAGUAGCUGCGUAGCUGCAGUACAGUACAAGAAGCUGGGAGCCCCAGAAUGAGAGAGAACAGUGAUUCAGCCCCAGGUUCACGGCCUGGGUUUUCCCUGGGAGCCACUGAUGUGAGUCCACGUAGCUGUCGAAGCACUUGCUGCAGAAGAUGGAGUCUGUGCUUGCUGGCUGGCAUUCUUCUCUUCAGCCUUUGGGACAGCACUGCCCACAUCCGGUGAGUGUUUUCCCUCAGUUACUGCCCCACAUUUCAGUCCUCUCUGGACAUGUCCUCACAGACACACCCAGAGUGUAAUUUUCUGGUCCCUUAGGCAAAUUGAGGAUCUUCCUAUGUAGAGCAGGCUGUCCUCAAACUUACCAUGUAGACCAGACCAGCUUUGAAAUCACGGAGAUCUGCUUGCUUCUUUCUGCUCGCAUGUGUUUGAGAUUAAAGGCGUGUGCCACCAUGCCUCGUUUCAGACUGGCAAUAAAGUCCAAGCAUCACACACAGCCAGGCUCUCAGUAUUCCCUACCGUGGCUUCCCUCCCAGCUGACCCAGUUGACCAGGAACUUUGUUACCAGAGCUGUGCAGCAUCCUUGGGUCCUGUGGUCAGUCUACAGUCUCAUAACCCCACCCUCUGCUCAUGGAACCAAGCGCUACACAGUUGCCGCUCUUUACCACUCCCGAGUUCUUGCAUGCUCACUGCACCUGUACCUCCUGUUCCCUAAGGGCAGAAUGCGGUCAUGAACCUCAGGAAAUGCUCUAGACUGGGUUCCCUCUACUCUGUCAGCACCUGCAUAGGGUCUUCUGAGCCAGCUGUAGCUCUUUAUCAGACUUUACCUGGCACCCUUAGAUGUGGGUCACUAGGAAGGGGACCUGCCCUGAGGGAGGGAGCUCUGUUCAGCUGAGAUCCUGCUCAUAAAGUCUGAUAGCAUCCAGCUGUCCUUGGUAGCCAACUGAGAGGUCAGUGAGCCAGUGAGCCAGGUGCCCAUUUAGACAGGGAAGCCAAGCCACACGCCCCAGGGCCACUGGAGAGUUGGGAAUUCAGAAAGGACAUUGCUAGUCCCCCAAUGGCCGGUCUCUGUUGGUGCUGCUCUGUGCUCUUUUGCCACCAGUGUGGGCUUUCUAAGACACGACCUUGUGCCAUUGCCUAUUUGGAGCCUUCUGUGACUCCACACAGUUUUUCAAAAGCCCACGCUGCUGGUGGUUGCAGACGCCUCCUGCCAGGCCAGCCAGCAUCUCCCCUCCUUUCUUGCUAGAUUCAUCUCUCCUCGGGGUUGCAGCUGGCCAGGCCAGCCUUGCAACUGCACAUGCUGUCUGUGGGAUGCUGAUAUGCAAUUGUGGACUCAGUAAUUCUUUCCUUCCCCUGAAUGUUGUGUUAGGUCCACACUGUUUUUGUGUAAGAACUACUUAUCCGCAGGAGCCAACUGCCCAGGAAGCCUUUCCUAAUUGUUCCUGCUCCUCAGGAUUGCACCGCGUGGUGCAUAGCCGGGCAGGAUCACCUCUUACUUUGGGUGGAGCCUCCUUGAGGAAGACCGGAUGCGUGCUAGAUGCUUGUCUGGGACUCCAGUCUUCAACCCAUACCAUAGGAUCAUGCCGCCCUUAGCCCAACCUAGAACGAGAGGGAUGCAGAGAUCACUCCCGUACACUCUGAAAAGACAUUUUCUCAAGCAGCUGGCAAGGCCCCCACUCACUCCGGAGGAUUUUCCAAUCUGCUCCGGAAAGGCCCAGUUCUUAGCGCAUGGGAUCAUUUGGGGACAUGGUCUUAGCCACAGGGAGGGGUGCUUUCCUUUGCUUGUCUUUCCCCUGAUCAUAUAAAGUAUGAGGUGAGAGGGGAGGGGUCCCCAAAGCCCUCCAGCCCUUGGAAAGCUUUGGAUGUGGCCAGAGUUGCGCCCAGGGUAAGCAGCAUCCUGUCUGGCCGCGGCUGCAAUGAGUGAUAGGUGGGAGGCCUGGGUCUCAGGGUGGCUGCCUGACUUUCCAUCUCGUGUUCUUGGACUCGUGUGUCUGUGCGAGCUUGUUCUGGCUGCCCGAGCUGAGGAGUGGAGCCACAGAUCCUCAUAGUUCAGACGGAACCCAACUUAAAAAACAGUUAGAGAGGACCAAACUUAGAAAGGAGGAAAAGUGGGGAAGAAGUUUAGCAUCCACAGGCAUGCAUUCUCAUCGUAAGUACACUGCACCACGAACAGGGCAGGAGUGAUGGCCUCAGGCUACACUGCUUCUCCCUUGGUCCUCAGCCUGUGGGCAAGCUGGAAUCUCCUGGCUGUCAUGUGGUGUGGUACCCGGCAGCCUCUGCAUGUUUACCCGCUGUGAGCACAGCCCUGGGAGGCAGAGCCUGUCUGUACUUUGGAGCUUCUUUCCCUGGUAGAUCCUCCCAGAAGCCAAUCAACGCUGGAGCGUGGAGCCGGGUACACACUCUGGUCUGUUCAUACUCAUCUCUGGCAUGGAGGCUCUGAAGUUAGCGGUUAGUAAUCUAUUCCAGAGUCUAGCUGGAACAUUUCACAGCCCUGGCUAGAGAGAGGUGGGCCAGGCACAGGUACCUUGGCAUGUUGCCUCUGUGUGUGUCCAUCUGUCCUUCCCAUAGGGACCAUCUUCAUCAACAUGAUGCCAAAUGCUCACAGGGCUGACUGCUAAGGCCAGUCUGCUAAGGACUGUGCUUCUCUCUUGACCUCACAUCGCCUCGACGUCUCUGCUUGUGACAGACAGAAAGACAGACAGACAAGCUUAUCUCACUUUAGAGAGAUGGAGUUUGGAGCUGGUAGAGGUUACAUCACAUGCCGGAGAUCAUCCAGCUGGGGUUAGCAGAGCCUGGAGGCCACCUUAUGUCACCUGACUCCAGACACACGUGUGUGCCCCUCCCCUAUCCCAAGUUCCUAAGGCUAGGGGAACUCUGCGGGUUUCAAGGCAAUUUCAGAUGUGUCCGGACAGCUCUUUUAUAUAAUGGCACAUUUUUUUUCAUGUGUAUUAGAAAAAAAUAUUCCAACAAAUUUGGAUUUUUAUUGAGAGUGUUGUCUAGCAGAAGGCAGGUUUAAAACUUGAGACUAUUUUGGAUUGAAUCUAAGGAAAAUAUUAAGUAGAAAGCGGUGGAAAUUGGAGGAUGGCGAAGAUUAGCCUUGAAAUAAGAUGUACUGCUGCACAGAGCCACCUCUGCCAGGCACCCUUGCGCUCCUCCAGGAUCCCACAUGCCCGUGUCCCUGUUCCUCAUACCUUAAAGCCCCCUGCUCACCCCCAAAGGCUCUCACAUGUCCUGUGUGGUCCUGGGUUGACUUUACUCUCUGUGUUGCAUCCUCUGCUAUCUGCCAUCCGCUCCCUCCACCCCCAACGUAGCCAUCUUGGUUGAUCUGAUGGACUGUACUGACCCAGCUAGCCCAUUCUUUCUCAGGACUUCUGGAUUUGCAAUUCUCAUACCCCCCCUUUUCCUCUGGGGAUCCUCCUUCUCCCAGGGCACCCCCAAAGGCCCUUUCCUUUCUAUCAACCUUAAAAGUCUGCUGUUCCUUAGACUCCUCUUUCGUUCUCACUGGGUCACCUUUCAUUCUCCCAGCCAGUCUCACUGCCGCCUUUGGUACCCACUGCUAAGCAUCAGUGGUCAAUCCCUUCCCUUACACUCUCGGGCCAUUUUCUGACGUCCAGACCUGUAUUGCCUGCUGGGCACCUCCUUUCAGUCACUCUACAGUGCCCGAGUCUGGGCUGGUGUAUCCCGACUCCCAGUAAAGACACAGGCACACUGGCUCUCCCACAGUAUCCUCUACCACCCUCAAUGGCUUCACUCAGUGCCAGUGUCUUCCCCAAGCUCCCUCUGAAGCCCAUGUCCAACAUGCUGACAUCUCUCCAUCUCUCUACCAUUGCUCCAGUUCAAGGGCAUUUGUUCUUCUACUUGCUUGGACCCAGAGUCCUAGCCAGGAUAGAGUCCUGUCUUUAUGAAGACCUCCUUCACCUGUCUCUGCUUCUCCCUGGAUGGGAUUCUGCAAAGCUCCCUGUUUGGGCUCUUUGUUCUGAGCUCUGGGAGGGGCCGUGGCAAGUCUUGCUGCCCGACACUCACUGUAGGUUAAGUGCUAAUUUCCCUCAGAGGCCACAAUGGUGUGGACAGGGUCCAGGUUCUCCUGGGGCAGCUUCACAGUGCCAGCUCAGCCCCUAUGCUUCUCAUGGCCCUGCUGAUCCGCAAGUGACUUCUCCGUGCCAUCUAAGAUGAGCCUUUCUUUCAUUUCCUGCCCUGAGAAGGUGAGAACAGGGUCAGAGGGCAUUGCCCACACCCAGUGAUCAAAUGUGCCAUGUGACCAACCUAGAUGCUUAAGGAGGACAGAAGGUACUACUAUUUUUGGUUGGGAAACUACAUGCCUAACCACCCCUUUGUCCUCCUUUAAAAACUGUGUUUUAAUUUUAUUGUGUGUAUGUGGCCUAUGUACCUGUAUGGGUGCGUGCAUCCAUAUCUGCACUUUAAGAGGCCAGAGCAAAACGCCAGCUAUCAAUCAAUCACUGCCUUAUUACCUUGAGAAAACGUCUUCUACUGAACCCAAAGCUCUCCUUUCUAGCUGGGCUGCCUUGCCUCAUAGUCCCUGGGUCCUCCUGCUUCCAACAUUCUUCCCAAAGCUGGGGUUAUAGGUGCAGGCAACCAUGCUCCACUUUUUAGUGUGGGCACUGGAGACUCGAACCCAGGUCCACAUGCUUUCAGAGUAAGGGCUCUUCCCUGCAGUCCUCCAGCCACUCCUCAUAUUGCUGCAGAGGAUGCAGAGCCCUGACAGAAGCCAAUAGGAUUCCUUCCCAGGAAAGGAAGGCUGCCUCUGACCAGGGAUACCUCCAUCUGCACAGCAGAGACAUGUCUCUUGUAGGUGGCUGGGAAGACCAAAUGCAGUGGCCAACGGGGAGAGCCCUGCGUGCAAUCAGAUGCGAUUGAAUGUGGCCCCCAUCUGCCUGCUCCUGCUUCAGUCACCUUGGACUUGGCAUGUGGGACCUGUGAGUUCUGGGCAGGGUUUUUGAAGCUGUAAUGUAAUAGGGCCGAGCCAAGGCAGCCCCGUGGCGUCCUGCUUGCUUGCUGUCUUUUCUGUACCACGGCUUUGGCACACAAAGACUUCGGGAGCUUCGGGAGAUGAGGCUGGCAGGGGUAGGCGCAUUUGGUGCGUGGCAAACCGAACCUGUCAAUUCCAGAAGCCUUUGGCACAUUGUUGAAGCGACUACAUGACUUUGAGAAGUGUCUGCAUGUUUUUUCCCCAAGUGCAGUUAUUUUUGCUGCUGUGAAAUGUUCUGAAAUCUGACAGUUUUGUUUUGAGUCUCAGCCCGAUGUGAAGACGGAAGGGAACACUGCCUCCCAGUUCUGCGGCACCCGCUUCCCGGGGUCUCCUGAGGACACCCAGAUCCUGGCAGAGGUGACCAAGGAGAGGCCUGGGGACUGAGGUUCUGGGGCGAGGGGAGUACACAUGCAGGUCAGACCAUGCAACCUCUGUGUACCCCCAAAGAAUGGCCAGGGGCUAGCUUGGCCAGUGUUCAAGUACUACAGUGUGCUAACAUGUCUCCUACCUGAUGUUACCCAGUACCCAUCCUGUUUCUCGGACCUUCCUCAUCAGAUGUCCUCUUGUACCUACUAUGUGCCAGAUUUCCUCCACUAGAAGUGCCUACUGUGUGUGCAGAGUCACAGGAGGACCCUCAGUCACAGACAUGACAAGGUUACAGUGCCAUGCUUCUAGGGCUCAGUUCUCCACCAGACCCUUCUCAUGGACUCAUUGGCCACUCCCUGGAUGCUGGCAGAGGAGCUGAGAGACGGCACUCUCUGUGGGCCCUGGCCUCAUCUGAUGGAGGAUGCUAAAGGAGCCAAGGCAGCCUUUCUCUUCUGCUGAGACCGUCUUCAGAGCCGCCUGCUCAUAUCAUAAAAGGAGCCAGUGGCUCUGCCAUCCAUCUACUCUGAGUGUGUGUGGUCAGUGCCGCUAAGGAGCUAAGCCCCACAGGCCUUCUAAACCUGUAGGUGUUGCUUGAUCAAGGAUCCAUUGUGUACUGUGGACCAAUAGCUUUUCCUCUCCCUGUGUCCCCAGGCUCCUUCAUGACUACACAGGCCAUGGAGGUUGAGGGGACCCAGGGGAGUCUGUCACAGGGCUUUGCAUUUAGCACAAAGCUGCCCCUCAGCAGUGGCUGGAGCAGGACAGGAGCAUGCAUCUUCCUCCUGGCAUGCUCCAAACACAUGUAGGUCAAGGGGAUUAUCCUAGCUUGCUUUCUGAGGCUGGGAUAAAAUACUGACUAAAAGCAACUUGGGGAGGAAAGGGUUUACUUCAGCUACCAGCUUCCAGCUCAGCGUGAAGGGAAUCAGGGCAGGACCAGAAGCAGAAACCUGGAGGCAGGAACUGAAGUGGAGUCUUAGUGGGAUGCUGCUAACUGGCAUGCUCGCUACGGCUUGUUCAGCUUGCUUUCUUAUACACCCCAGGCGUGUCUGCCCACAUCAAUCAUUAACUAACAGGCUCGCCUAUCACAAGUCUGAUGGAGACCCUUUCUCCAUGGAGGUUUCAUCUUCCUAGAUUACUUUAGCUUAUGCCAAGCUAACAAAGGUCUAACCAGCACAGGUUAGCAGUAAGACCCCACAGCUGGCCUGUUGUUCUGUUGCCCUCCACAAGGAGCUCAGAACUCAUGGACUAAGAUGGGAGGUGGGGGGCAGGGGGCAUGUUCCUCUUAUCCCAACUGCAUUCUGGCUAGAACCAGUCAGAAAGGAGGACAUGAAGGAUGCAGUCCUGUCCCCUCUUUUAGACCAAGGCCCAGAAUGUGUAGAUGUGAGUCUACUUCUAACCUAUGAAGUCUGCCCACUUGAGUGCCUGUGUGCACGAUUGUGUAUGUGUUGUGCAUGUGUGUGUGAGAGCGUGCUUGUGUGUGUGUGCGCUCUCUAAGUACGUGCUGCUGCAUUGACACUCAGUGGCUGGCUUUGACUCAAGGCCUCUUGGCUCAGCUCAGGUCUGUGUACUCCUUUGCCAGUGCUUUUGGCUCAGGCGUCUUUGUGGGAAAGAACUAGGCCCAUGGAGAGCAGGGAGGACUUUGUUCCGUGGUAGUCAUUGCCACUCCAGAACCAGGGAUGAACUGCCAACCCAGGCUUGUACCUUUAUAAUCAAUUGCUUUGAAGCCCAGGAUACCCACUAUCAACGUGGUGGCUGGAGGUGAUCCAGGCAGCUGGUGUGUGAGCAUAGAUCAGGGCCCACAGGAGCCUCGCCGGGAUUCAGCCUUCAUCUUCAUGGGGCUCUAACACUCCCUGCUGUGGGAGCCUCAGGAUUCCUUUGCCUGUGGGGACAGUGGAAGUGAAUGGAUGGCAUGAGUUGGAGUAAGCCAAAACCUGUAUCCUGUGUUUGACCAGAUAAAGGUCCCAGAGGGAUUUCACAGGUAUGUCACAGCUAAUGAGCGGGAUCCCAGAUUGUCUGAUGGGUCCAGUGUUACCACAAAGGCAAGAAGGAGAUGGAAAAGUCAUAGCCACAGAGAAGGUGAUAAAUGCCUUCUAGGUGCUAUGGAAGGUGAGGAAACAGAGGGCUUGCAGAGCUGCCAGCCUGCUGCUGUUCUGAUUUGACACAGUAAGGGCUGUCUUGGACACUCACCUUCAGAACAGUGAGAUCACACAGGCCAGCAAGCCCACAGGGCUCUGCCGAGGCAGCUGCAGAAACAGCAGUCAGAUGGCAUGGUGCAAGGGUCUGGUGGCUGACGGGAAGGAAGCUCAUGAGGUAGAGCCUGCAAGCAAUGAGGACACCUUGCUGGGAAACAAUGACUUCUUAGACCAGAGUGGAGGGAGGGUUUGCCUGGUGAGACUUACUGAGAGGGUUGAGUCCUGUUGGGGCUCUGACCUCCAGUUGAGGGUCUGUGUCCAAUUUGGAAGGACAAGGGAACCCCUGAGAGCUUCUAAAUAAAGUCUGAUGGGAGUGCAGUGUGUGAGGCCCAUAGACUGCCUCUGGGCCAGGAAAUGGUGGGUGUCUCAAGGCAAUGGGAAUAUCUGGCCUCACGGAGGAUGCUGAGUGCUUGAGGGUGUAUAUACUGCCCCAAAUCCUCCUGGAACCAGGCACAUCACAGAGCAUGGUGAGUGUAAGCGGACAGGGCUUCAAGCAGAAAGGAAGAAAGCAGAGACAAGAAGGCACAACUUUAUUGAAACAAACAAACACACAAACAAACAAAGGGGUCUUAAAGACAUAUGGGGAAUCCUUGUCCAGCUUUCUCUAGUUUCUAUUAGGUCAAAAAUGCAAGUCGCUUUGAAAACUUGAUUUGGCUAUGUACUCACUGAUAAGUGGAUAUUAGCCCCAAACCUAGGAUACCCAAGAUAUAAGAUAUAAUUU